rnacentral:rRNA from 1 species
AAUAGAUACCCCGGUAGUCCACGCCGUAAACGAUGGAUACUAGCUGUUGGAGGUAUCGACCCCUUCAGUAGCGAAGCUAACGCGUUAAGUAUCCCGCCUAUGGAGUACGGCCGCAAGGCUAAAACAUAAAGGAAUUGACGGGGACCCGCACAAGCGGUGGAUCAUGUUCUUUAAUUCGAUGAUAAACGAAGAACCUUACCAGGGCUUGACAUCCUUGGAAGCACUACGAAAGUAGCGUGUGCCUUUUGGAACCAAGUGACAGAUGUUGCAUGGCCGUCGUCAGCUCGUGUCGUGAGAUGUUUGGUUAAGUCCAUCAACGAGCGCAACCCUUGUGAAUAGUUGUAUUUUUCUAUUCAGACUGCCCCGGCAACGGGGAGGAAGGAGGGGAUGAUGUCAGGUCAGUAUUACUCUUACGUCCUGGGCUAGAAACGUGAUACAAUGGCUGGUACAAUGCGCAGCGAAGCCGCGAGGUGAAGCAAAUCGCAUCAAAGCCAGUCCCAGUUCGGAUUGGAGGCUGAAACUGCCUCCA